UAGUCUGUGUUUGGGGUGGGGCUAUUUUAGCAUACAUACACGAUUACAAAGCUAAGUUCAGGCACAUCAAGAAAUAGUUGUCUAUACAUUUCUUAUCAGAAGGGGAAAUAUGUUAGGAAGGAUUGCGUUAGUCUCACUGCUUGUAGGAAUAGCGGUAGCACAAGACCAGUGUAGUUCGACAGUGAACCCAGUUUACUGUGGUGUGUGUUGUCCAUCCAUAAACGGAUGUUGUGCGACCACAAGUAAUCCCUUGUCCACGGAUGAGGUGUGCUGUGCAAUGGAGGCAAACAAUGCAGCCCGUGAUUGUGGCUCUACAAGAUGUCCUGAUCGCCUCCCUUCAGAUUUGGUGUAUGACUCGGCUGUCACACCAGCCGAGUUAAGAAACCAGUGCUGCGUCUAUUUCAGAGACGGCUGCUGCAGCGAAAGUGAAAACAGUUUUCUGGACCUGCUGUUUAAGUUGGCCCUUGGUCUAGGAAUUGGACUUGGUGGUCUACUAGUGAUCAUCCUGUUGCUGGUGGUGUGUUGCUGCUGCUGUAUUUGCUGUGACUAGCACAUGAAGUAGACACCUGAAGUAGACACCUAACACAUACAUGAUGUAUGAAUGAGUAUAAUUAUUUUGUGAUAUAUUUUUUAAUGUUUUUAUCUCCUAUACUUUGUGUGCGCGUGCUCAUGGUAAAAACAACAACUGUAAAUGGAGUGUUUCA